UGAGCGGUUGUUAUUGAGCGUCUCGGUCCAGUCCAGCUGUUCUCAUCCGGACACCCAUGAGACUCAGGCAGGCACAGUAAAAGCUUUACAGUGGGCUAGAAGGCUAUCUACAGAACUUCAGAUGGUGACGACUCUCGGCAAUGCAAUUGUAGGAUUGUAAACCGUGCGCUUUUAGACAGUGUCCUUAAAUGGAUGGAGACGUCAUGGACCUCAGAGGAACACAAUAACAUUUGGACAGUUUCACCAAAUGCCCUCUCGGUACUCAGAGGACUCUAAUCUAGGCGGCAAUUCUGCCACACAUUUUUAGAUUUCGUUUUUUUAAAUGAUUCCAUUGUGCCACAGAGAUAAUGACUGCCUUCAGCCCGUGCAUAAAAUGAGCCUAAUUAUUGUACGAGCUACUGCGUGGAGACAAGUUAAUGUUUCACUUCUGAGUUCUUAGAUUUCUUGGUGGGGGACCAACGCGAACUGGAAAUGGGAGCGUGCCUUUGCUGUGCCUUGUAAAUUUUUACAGCCUGGUGCCAAGGGACAACAACAACAUGGGUAGCGGUAGUAGUCGAGGAAAGAAGGUUGCUCCUGCCAGUGUCAACGAGAUAAACUCAUUCAGAAGACAUGACAACACAGUCCACGUUUUGAAAGAGGAAAGACACUUGUUCAAACCAUUGAAAAUAACAACAUCUACGAAUUUAAGUCAGUCACGAAAUAGAGCGCAACAAGACUGCCACAGUGAAGGACACGAUUCUGAAUUUUCCGUAGAGGAUUAUGACAUUGAUGUGGAACUGAAUCGAGUUCUACAGGAAUAUGACAAUCGGGAAUUGCGUUCCAAGAGGAAAACGUAUCAAACGAAGCCAUUCAUAAGGUCUAAUACAUAUGGGUUAUGUUAUUCCAGUCGAGUCCACAAUGAAAGCGUUUUCAAUUCAACCCCUCACUGGCAGAGUUCUGAAUUGUCGGAGGGGCCUGGGGCAUGUUGUCCAGAUAACGGUUCUGUUGGAGUCAAGGACAAGAAAGGCAUCCCGGUCUUCAACCAGUUUUGCAAAAAUACACAGAUUCAGUUCUCAAGCGGAACUCAGGAAAAUGACUUGUUGACAACGGGGUCAGCUUGUGUGGAGUCAGUGCCUCGAGCAGAAACAGACUCAGUCCUGGACGAUGGCAAUGGUCCCUCUCUCUCCAAGCCUGUCAUUCUGUAUGAUGGAUCAGAAGUGGACCUUAUGGAGACCAUAGAGAGAGAGUUUAGUUGACCUCACAGGAGAGACUAAAAUAGCAGGAUAACUUUUCAACCAAAUAUUUGUUUUUUGAAUGAAUGGUGAAGGUGCAUAGUGAUGGAGGAAUUCAGAUAUGAUGCUAUUGUUUUAGCACUACCCACAAUUUUUUUAAGUAACUGGCCAGUGUUUCCACAAUUAUAUGAAAUAGGACCUAUAAUUAACUACAAUAUGAAUUUAAUAAUUUUCCUUA